rnacentral:lncRNA from 1 species
UUAUUUUUGUCAUUUUAGUGAACAGAAGUAGAAGAGAAAGAUUUAAAAUAAUGAGUUUAUUUUGGUUCCAAUUAUAACAUUACUCAUAGGAUGCAUCUUGAUUUUUAACUCUUUAUCUGCACUAGAAUUGUUACAUAAUUUAAUAAGGCUGUUUUGGUUGUGUAUUGUGGCAAAAAUGACUGCUCCCCAAAUUUAUCAUUUUUCAUGAUUCUGUGGGUUCACUAGACUCAGCUGGGCAGCUCUGCUUCAUAUGGUAUAGCUGAGGUCACUCAUGCAGCUGCAUUCAGCUGGAAGUUCAAAUGGAUAGGAACAUCCCAGAUAACUUACAUUAGGCUAUUUAGUAAGAGGCAGUUACAAGAAGUAUGGGGGCUCUCUGAGAAAUGGAGCUAUUUCACCAUGAUGUUUAUGAUGUUAUUUUAUAUAAACUUCACACUUAGAAAGUUAGAAAGACGUAGUAAGCUGUGUCUUUUAUUAUAAAAAACUGCCUACUUUGCCUAAAAUAAAAGAACAUUCUUAUUACUCAUUUAAAAUUUUAUCUCUAAUAAUUAUUGGA